AAGUGGAUGGGGGAUCUAUGGAUUUAUGGAUGUUGGUCCAUCUCAGGUCGUGAGCUCAGGAUCAGAAACCCAUGUGAGCAGGAGACACAAGGAGUGGUCAACGUCAGAAGAAUAGAGAAAAACAACUCAAAGACAUGCAGCAUGCACUUUAGGAUUGCAACUCAAGAAUAGACAGAACAGAGUGAAGUUGGACAGAAAAUUCAUGGUGCAGAUGACUGGAAGCUCUAGUCACGUUGUACAGUGAAAGAAGGCCUCCUGUCAAAUAAUUAUACGGGGUCUGAUUUUGGAAAUGUGUUUUGUCUCUCGCUUCUCCCAGUCAUAGAAAGCUCAUUGAUCUGAAACAUCGCCUGCUUCAUUCUUUCCAGAGGAAUGAUUGAUUUUCGAAGAAACUUCCAACAACAUGUGGAAAAGACUGCAUGAAUCUCAUGAAGCCCCCUUAUACUGGAUGUCUCUGGAAAACCGGCUCGUUGUCCCUCACUAAUAGCCACUGGAUUCUGAAGCGAUAAACCCACCUUUCUCCAGCCUCAUACAUCUACGGUGUAUAUGACUUUGGUCCUGCCAAAUCUGUGUGAAUCUGUGUUUCUGUGAAUGCUAUGUGAUUUACAGUCCCCAGCAAGAAAUAACAGACCGGACACUGCAUACAAUUAAAAAGAAGUAUAUUUAAGAAUGUUAAUUUAAACAAAGUGUUAUUAAAUGAAAGAAAGAAAAGAACUAAAAGGGCCCAUUAUUCUUAAACAGUCAAGUGUGUACUUAAUUUGGAGCUCAUCUUGAACUUGU